rnacentral:rRNA from 1 species
AUUGAACGCUGGCGGCAGGCCUAACGCAUGCAAGUCGAGCGGAUGAAGGGAGCUUGCUCCUGGAUUCAGCGGCGGACGGGUGCGUAAUGCCUAGGAAUCUGCCUGGUAGUGGGGGAUAACGUCCGGAAACGGGCGCUAAUACCGCAUACGUACUGAGGGAGCAAGUGGGGGAUCUUCGGACCUCACGCUAUCAGAUGAGCCUAGGUCGGAUUAGCUAGUUGGUGGGGUAAAGGCCUACCAAGGCGACGAUCCGUAACUGGUCUGAGAGGAUGAUCAGUCACACUGGAACUGAGACACGGUCCAGACUCCUACGGGAGGCAGCAGUGGGGAAUAUUGGACAAUGGGCGAAAGCCUGAUCCAGCCAUGCCGCGUGUGUGAAGAAGGUCUUCGGAUUGUAAAGCACUUUAAGUUGGGAGGAAGGGCAGUAAGUUAAUACCUUGCUGUUUUGACGUUACCAACAGAAUAAGCACCGGCUAACUUCGUG